rnacentral:tRNA from 1 species
CGGCCGGUGGUCCGGAGGCGGCAGAGACUGCCCCCUUGGGGCGGUGGCGACCCGACGGUCGCGUCGUGGCCGAUCGC